rnacentral:rRNA from 1 species
GCCUUUUGAUUGCUUAUUGCACCACAUGUGUUUUUCUUUGAAACAAACUUGCUUUGGCGGUGGGCCCAGCCUGCCGCCAGAGGUCUAAACUUACAACCAAUUUUUUAUCAACUUGUCACACCAGAUUAUUACUAAUAGUCAAAACUUUCAACAACGGAUCUCUUGGUUCUCGCAUCGAUGAAGAACGCAGCGAAAUGCGAUACGUAAUAUGAAUUGCAGAUAUUCGUGAAUCAUCGAAUCUUUGAACGCACAUUGCGCCCUCUGGUAUUCCGGAGGGCAUGCCUGUUUGAGCGUCGUUUCUCCCUCAAACCGCUGGGUUUGGUGUUGAGCAAUACGACUUGGGUUUGCUUGAAAGACGGUAGUGGUAAGGCGGGAUCGCUUUGACAAUGGCUUAGGUCUAACCAAAAACAUUGCUUGCGGCGGUAACGUCCACCACGUAUAUCUUCAAACUUUGACCUCAAAUCAGGUAGGACUACCCGCUGAACUUAAGCAUAUCAAUAAGCGGAGGAA